rnacentral:miRNA from 1 species
CUAAGUUGAUUGUGUUUAUGAUGUCGAAUAUCGACGUCAUAAAACCUAAUUUGAUCGUGUUUAUGACGUCGAAUAUCGACGUCAUAAACAUCAAAG